rnacentral:misc_RNA from 1 species
GUGGAAUUCGCCCUUUGGCUACGCGAGCGCAUGAGAUGUUUUUGACCCGUGUCUGCUGGUAGGUCCCCCGUCUUUGUGCGGCCGACUAUUGGCGCCGUGUCUUGCCAUUUGUGUGAGCUAUCUUACGUUGCCUUUCAAGUGCUUGCGUGAUGUUACCUGACCUAUGGGUAUUGGUGCUUCAUACAUAGUUGCCUCGUGGUGGACGCCUUUGGGUGUGCUGCUGCGGCCAUAUGGCGAUUGUGGCGUUGCCUCGUGGUGCUGGUUCUCGUGCCCGGUGCUAUCAAGGCAGCCUUGCUCUCGUUAAUGGUUUUGGAUGUCGCUCAUGAUAUAUAUCCUCGUGGCCCAUUUGGUUGCCUCGGGGCUUGACCCUAAGAACGCUCUCCGACUUUGAGAACAUCGUUGAACGAAUGUUGCCUCUACCUUUCCUCAACAAGUGGAAGGAUUACGCAGCAGACUCGAGUCCGAUCCCCAAAUAAGUCGGACGAGCAAGACCCUAAGAAUGCUCUCCGACUUUGAGAACAUCGUUGAACGAAUGUUGCCUCUACCUUUCCACAGCAAGUGGCAAGGAUUACGCAGCAUACUCGAUUCCGAUCCCCAAAUAAGUCGGACGAGCUUGGCCCGCUCAACAGCGACAACCGGCCCGAUUGUUGCCUCUGCAUUGCCACGCAAGUGGCGGUGGGUGGGGUGACUACCGGUGUUGGAAGUCUAAGAGGACGUGCUACCUGGUUGAUCCUGCCAGUAGUCAUAUGCUUGUCUAAGGGCGAAUUCCACAUU